rnacentral:miRNA from 1 species
UAGACAUCGAAAUAUUUACA